GAUGAACGCUGGCGGCGUGCCUAAUACAUGCAAGUCGAGCGAACAGACGAGGAGCUUGCUCCUCUGACGUUAGCGGCGGACGGGUGAGUAACACGUGGAUAACCUACCUAUAAGACUGGGAUAACUUCGGGAAACCGGAGCUAAUACCGGAUAAUAUAUUGAACCGCAUGGUUCAAUAGUGAAAGACGGUUUUGCUGUCACUUAUAGAUGGAUCCGCGCCGCAUUAGCUAGUUGGUAAGGUAACAGCUUACCAAGGCAACGAUGCGUAGCCGACCUGAGAGGGUGAUCGGCCACACUGGAACUGAGACACGGUCCAGACUCCUACGGGAGGCAGCAGUAGGGAAUCUUCCGCAAAGGGCGAAAGCCUGACGGAGCAACGCCGCGUGAGUGAUGAAGGUCUUCGGAUCGUAAAACUCUGUUAUUAGGGAAGAACAAAUGUGUAAGUAACUAUGCACGUCUUGACAGUACCUAAUCAGAAAGCCACGGCUAGCUACGUG
rnacentral:rRNA from 1 species